UACUCCUACGGGAGGCAGCAGUAGGGAAUCUUCGGCAAUGGGGGGAACCCUGACCGAGCAACGCCGCGUGAGUGAAGAAGGUUUUCGGAUCGUAAAGCUCUGUUGUAAGAGAAGAACGGGUGUGAGAGUGGAAAGUUCACACUGUGACGGUAUCUUACCAGAAAGGGACGGCUAACUACGUGCCAGCAGCCGCGGUAAUACGUAGGUCCCGAGCGUUGUCCGGAUUUAUUGGGCGUAAAGCGAGCGCAGGCGGUUAGAUAAGUCUGAAGUUAAAGGCUGUGGCUUAACCAUAGUAUGCUUUGGAAACUGUUUAACUUGAGUGCAGAAGGGGAGAGUGGAAUUCCAUGUGUAGCGGUGAAAUGCGUAGAUAUAUGGAGGAACACCGGUGGCGAAAGCGGCUCUCUGGUCUGUAACUGACGCUGAGGCUCGAAAGCGUGGGGAGCAAACAGGAUUAGAUACCCUGGUAGUCCACGCCGUAAACGAUGAGUGCUAGGUGUUAGGCCCUUUCCGGGGCUUAGUGCCGCAGCUAACGCAUUAAGCACUCCGCCUGGGGAGUACGACCGCAAGGU
rnacentral:rRNA from 1 species